UGUUAUAAAUUUGACUGAUAUUCUGAUGAAAAGAGAGGACUUAUAAUUAGAUUUCCUUACAGUUUACUGCAUUGAUAAUCAACUGAUUUUAUUUUGACUGGGUGUCAGCUAAACUUUUUAUUCAGCUGCAGUUCCCUGAGUAAAGAAGAUAUCCAUGAUUUAAUUGGAACAAUCCAGUCUUGAUGAAUGGCCUGAUGGUCUUAAUCAGAUUUGCAGCAGAAUCGAAAGAGGGAGAAGGCAGGUUUGUGGCUGACUUCACCGAUAAUACUCUACACACUGUGGCUGGCUACUCGGCAGUCAGAGCAAUAUUGAGGACUAUAAAGGCAUCAAUUCUCUCGGAUAUGCCCUCGAGUCACCUGACUACCUAAAUUAAGGGGAGAGUUCUAGUAGAAGAAUCCAGCACAGUCAUCAUUCUUGUGAUGUCUGUGACAGUAGAGAACCGGUUGGAGGCAGUGACAGCACAUUAGUUUAGCGUACAUGCUCCAGGUUGCAAGAUGACAAAAGCAGAACAUUUAUUAGAAUACCCGAGCGUAAGGAUAAAAUCAGGUCGAACUUCAUUAGGAAUGAAGGUUGUUUUUUAUGAAAUAAUUCGUAAUCAGCUUGUACAGUCUCUGCAAUAUGGACUCUGGUUCUCCAAAGGAAAAAUUAAAUAUUGAGUGGAACGCGAGCGCUCUUGGUGACACCUGGCCCGGAGCUGCCCAUCAUUAGGGCUUCAGGCCCACAGGAGCGACGGUGAAAAGCUUUAGAGGCAGGGUACAGUGUCUCUCCCACUGUUGAAGGAGAGAAGCCUUCCGGCCUAUCUCCCCAACACUUGGAAAUGUAGGCUUUUCCCACUGGGAACGUUGGGUCUGGACCAGAGCACUAAGGAGUUGAGGAAAAAUGAAUCUGUCAAUCAGCAAGUCGAUAAUAUUUUUGAAGGCUUACUCUGUGUAGAGCGCUCUACAUAAACACUUAGGCAAGUGCGGUGGUGUUAGCAGACUUGAUCCCUGCCCUCGAGGAACUUACAAUCUAGUAAGGGAGACCUAUGCCACACUAAAUUACAGAUAGGCGGAAGCAGCAGAGGAUAAAGAUACGUACGUAAUUCUGGAGGGUGGAAGUGGAUAGAUGAUAUUGGGGUGUCCGAAGGGAGGAAAAUAGAUCGGGGAGAUGAGAGAAUAAUUGGAAGGCCUCCUGGGGGAGAGGUGAUUUUAGAAGGGCUGUAAAGAUGGAAAGAGUGGCGGUCUGCUGGAUAGAAGCUAGAAGUCAAUAGUGAGGGGAUAGGAGAACGAGGCACAGUGAGGAAGUUAGUAUUAGAGGAACGAGGCUGUAAGGGGGGAGGAGCAAAGAAGGGGCGAAAGAGUAGGAAUGCUUCAAAGCCAAACUUGUUUUUUUCAGAUUUUUUUUGCCCUCCUAUGGGCUGUGCUCUCUUCCUUAAAUUGCGAGUCCUUUGUUGGGCCUGGAAAGUGUCUGAAUCAAUGUCUAUUUAUUCUUCCCUAUGCUAGUGUACUUUUUCACACAUUGUAAGCACUCAU
rnacentral:lncRNA from 1 species